rnacentral:lncRNA from 1 species
UUUGACACCACUCUCAAUUUUUCUGAGGUUAUUUGAAAACCUAACCGGCAGAGACAAUUACGCACGCUUUCGGCACUCAGAAGAGAUUGUUUUGAACGUGCCCAUGAUUGUUCCGUUUUCCAUAUUUACCUUAUCAAGUCCGUAAACUAUAGUAUAGGGGGUUAAUGUAGAUGUAUCUUUUCUGGCUUUUACACAGGCUCAUUGGUAAAUACUUGCAUCCUACGCAUCGAUUCGUGGGAACUACCCGUAACAACGAGUUGUUAAUUUGCCUGCUAUGUCACACAUUGGUACACCAAGGUACACAAAAGAGAUCAUCAAGGACAACAACCACCCGAGCCACUGCCUGUUCACCCCGCUAUCAUCCAGAAGGCGAGGAUUUCCUGUUAUCAACCUAUUGCCUGAUCUCCCGGACAACGUUACUAGCCUUUUCCCUGCCUGUACUGUUGCCUGUUUGACCUUCUGCCUGCCCCUGGACCCAGCUACCUGCCUCCUCC